rnacentral:rRNA from 1 species
AGUGAACGCUGGCGGUAGGCCUAACACAUGCAAGUCGAACGGCAGCACAGUAAGGGCUUGCUCUUACGGGUGGCGAGUGGCGGACGGGUGAGGAAUACAUCGGAAUCUACUUUUUCGUGGGGGAUAACGUAGGGAAACUUACGCUACUACCGCAUACGACCUACGGGUGAAAGCAGGGGAUCUUCGGACCUUGCGCGAUUGAAUGAGCCGAUGUCGGAUUAGCUAGUUGGCGGGGUAAAGGCCCACCAAGGCGACGAUCCGUAGCUGGUCUGAGAGGAUGAUCAGCCACACUGGAACUGAGACACGGUCCAGACUCCUACGGGAGGCAGCAGUGGGGAAUAUUGGACAAUGGGCGCAAGCCUGAUCCAGCCAUACCGCGUGGGUGAAGAAGGCCUUCGGGUUGUAAAGCCCUUUUGUUGGGAAAGAAAAGCAGCAGGUUAAUACCCCGCUGUUCUGACGGUACCCAAAGAAUAAGCACCGGCUAACUUCGUG